AUUGGAGGGCAAGUCUGGUGCCAGCAGCCGCGGUAAUUCCAGCUCCAAUAGCGUAUAUUAAAGUUGUUGCGGUUAAAAAGCUCGUAGUUCGAGUUCAGUUUCGGACUGGGGUGGGAGGUCACCGCCCGGUGCUUGCCCCCUAGGCUCCGAACAGCUUCCUAUAGUGGAAGCCAAGUCGGUUUUGGCGGGGUGCUCUUUACCGAGUGUCCCGUGCGGCCGGCCAGUUCACCUUGAAUAAAUGAGAGUGCUCAAAGCAGGCUACUCUGGAAUACAAUGCCCGAAUUUUGGUUGCAUGGAAUGAUGGAAGAUGAUCUCGGUUCCAUUUUGUUGGUGGUGGGAGCCAGAGAUAAUGAUAAAGAGGGACUGUCGGGGGCAUCCGUACUACGACGCGAGAGGUGAAAUUCAGUGACCGUCGUAGGACGAACAACAGCGAAAGCAUUUGCCAAGAAUGUCUUCGUUGAUCAAGAACGAAAGUUAGAGGAUCGAAGGCGAUCAGAUACCGCCCUAGUUCUAACCCUAAACGAUGCUGACUAGCAAUUCGCCGUCGUUAUUCCCAUGACGUGGCGAGACGCCCCCGGGAAACCUCAAGUUUUUGAGUUCCGGGGGUAGUAUGGUUGCAAAAGUGAAACUUAAAGGAAUUGACGGAAGGGCACCACCA
rnacentral:rRNA from 1 species